rnacentral:rRNA from 1 species
UACAGAGGAGCCAAGCGUUGUCCGGAUUGACUGGGCGUAAAGCGCACGCAGGCGGACGCGCGCGUGGGGUGUGAAAUCUGGCCGCUUAACGGCCAGGCGCCAUCCCAUACGGCGCGUCUGGAGUGAUGCAGAGGUCGGUGGAAUUGCCGGUGUAGUGGUGAAAUGCGUAGAGAUCCGGAAGAACACCGGUGGCGAAGGCGGUGAGCUGGGCAGUAGCUGACACUGAGGCGCGACAGCGUGGGGAGCAAACAGG